ACACGCAUGACACACUGCAUAUCAAUAAGCGGAGGAAAAGAGGGCUAUUACCUACGCUUAGGAUGUUGACGAGACUGUCGAUCUCAUCUACACGCAUGACACACAUGCAUAUCAAUAAGCGGAGGAAAAGAAACUAACAAGGAUUCCCCUUAGUAACGGCGAGUGAAGCGGGAAGAGCUCAAAUUUGAAAUCUUCAAGGGUUCUACCUUUACGAAUUGUAGUUUAAUAGAAGUGUUUUCUGUUAGUGGAGUUGCGGUAAAGUUCUUUGGAAUAGGACAUCAUAGAGGGUGAGAAUCCCGUAUUUGGUCAUUCCUCCUAGCGUUGUGAUACACUUUCAACGAGUCGGAUUGUUUGGGAAUGCAGUCCAAAAUGGGUGGUAAAUUUCAUCUAAAGCUAAAUAUUGGCGAGAGACCGAUAGCGAACAAGUACCGUGAGGGAAAGAUGAAAAGAACUUUGAAAAGAGAGUUAAACAGUACGUGAAAUUGUCAAAAGGGAAGCGUUUGACACCAGUGUUGUUUUUCCGAAAAUCAAUUACGAAUGUUUUAUUUUUGAGGAGUUAUGACUUCAUCGGCUUGCUCCUUUCUUUAUGAAACUUUCUUAAUGCACUUUUCGGUUAACAAGUCAACAUCAAUUUCUUUUGUUGUAAAAGGGUAUGAGGAAGGUGGCUUUCUUUUCGGAGAAAGUGUUUAUAGCCUUGUACCUCUGCAAUCGGAGAGAUUGAGGUCUGCAGCGUAGAUCCUUCGGGGUUAGAUACAUUUGUGCUAAGUUAUAGCUUUUCAUAGACAACUUGUUGACUAUGUUAAGUCUUGUAGCUUACUCGCUUAUGCUAUUUUACCUACGCUUAGGAUGUUGACGAGACUGUCGAUCUC
rnacentral:rRNA from 1 species